AGCUGGUCCAAAGGUAGUGAGUUAUCUCUAUUGUUCAGUCAGUUACAGAACAAACUCCUUGUUCUACUCUUUUCUCACUUCUCACUACUCACUACUCGUCUUAA
ensembl:misc_RNA Y_RNA Y RNA